CGAUGUAGAGCAGAACCCGAAAAGUAUUCUCAGUUCAGAUUGCAGGCUGCAACUCGCCUGCAUGAAGUCGGAAUUGCUAGUAAUCGCGGAUCAGCAUGCCGCGGUGAAUACGUUCCCGGGCCUUGUACACACCGCCCGUCACACCAUGAGAGUCGGGAACACCCGAAGUCGGUAGUCUAACCUCGUGAGGACGCCGCCAAGGUGGGAUUGAUGACUGGGGUGAAGUCGUAACAAGGUAGC
rnacentral:rRNA from 1 species